rnacentral:rRNA from 1 species
UACGUAGGGUGCAAGCGUUAUCCGGAAUUAUUGGGCGUAAAGAGCUCGUAGGCGGUUUGUCGCGUCUGCUGUGAAAACUGGGGGCUCAACCCCCAGCCCUGCAGUGGGUACGGGGCAGACUAGAGUGCGGUAGGGGGAGAUUGGAAUUCCUGGUGUAGCGGUGGAAUGCGCAGAUAUCAGGAGGAACACCGAUGGCGAAGGCAGAUCUCUGGGCCGUAACUGACGCUGAGGAGCGAAAGCAUGGGGGAGCGAACAGG